rnacentral:rRNA from 1 species
CGUCAUAGCUGUUUCCUGAGAACAGAUAAGGAGCUUGCUCCUUUGAAGUUAGCGGCGGACGGGUGAGUAACACGUGGGUAACCUACCUAUAAGACUGGGAUAACUUCGGGAAACCGGAGCUAAUACCGGAUAACAUUUAGAACCGCAUGGUUCUAAAGUGAAAGAUGGUUUUGCUAUCACUUAUAGAUGGACCCGCGCCGUAUUAGCUAGUUGGUAAGGUAACGGCUUACCAAGGCGACGAUACGUAGCCGACCUGAGAGGGUGAUCGGCCACACUGGAACUGAGACACGGUCCAGACUCCUACGGGAGGCAGCAGUAGGGAAUCUUCCGCAAUGGGCGAAAGCCUGACGGAGCAACGCCGCGUGAGUGAUGAAGGGUUUCGGCUCGUAAAACUCUGUUAUUAGGGAAGAACAAAUGUGUAAGUAACUGUGCACAUCUUGACGGUACCUAAUCAGAAAGCCACGGCUAACUACGUGCCAGCAGCCGCGGUAAUACGUAGGUGGCAAGCGUUAUCCGGAAUUAUUGGGCGUAAAGCGCGCGUAGGCGGUUUCUUAAGUCUGAUGUGAAAGCCCACGGCUCAACCGUGGAGGGUCAUUGGAAACUGGGAAACUUGAGUGCAGAAGAGGAAAGUGGAAUUCCAUGUGUAGCGGUGAAAUGCGCAGAGAUAUGGAGGAACACCAGUGGCGAAGGCGACUUUCUGGUCUGUAACUGACGCUGAUGUGCGAAAGCGUGGGGAUCAAACAGGAUUAGAUACCCUGGUAGUCCACGCCGUAAACGAUGAGUGCUAAGUGUUAGGGGGUUUCCGCCCCUUAGUGCUGCAGCUAACGCAUUAAGCACUCCGCCUGGGGAGUACGACCGCAAGGUUGAAACUCAAAGGAAUUGACGGGGACCCGCACAAGCGGUGGAGCAUGUGGAUUUAAUUCGAAGCAACGCGAAGAACCUUACCAAAUCUUGACAUCCUUUGAAAACUCUAGAGAUAGAGCCUUCCCCUUCGGGGGACAAAGUGACAGGUGGUGCAUGGUUGUCGUCAGCUCGUGUCGUGAGAUGUUGGGUUAAGUCCCGCAACGAGCGCAACCCUUAAGCUUAGUUGCCAUCAUUAAGUUGGGCACUCUAGGUUGACUGCCGGUGACAAACCGGAGGAAGGUGGGGAUGACGUCAAAUCAUCAUGCCCCUUAUGAUUUGGGCUACACACGUGCUACAAUGGACAAUACAAAGGGCAGCUAAACCGCGAGGUCAUGCAAAUCCCAUAAAGUUGUUCUCAGUUCGGAUUGUAGUCUGCAACUCGACUACAUGAAGCUGGAAUCGCUAGUAAUCGUAGAUCAGCAUGCUACGGUGAAUACGUUCCCGGGUCUUGUACACACCGCCCGUCACACCACGAGAGUUUGUAACACCCGAAGCCGGUGGAGUAACCAUGUAAAAGCAGACGGCCAGUGAUCAGAGUUGAUC